rnacentral:lncRNA from 7 species
GUUCAGGGCAGAGCACGGACAUGAGGUUUUGCUGCUAACGCUGCCAGUGAGGUGCAGUCUCUGGGGGGCAGCACACCACCACCUCCUGGGCCCGACUGCUGCAGACACAGCUUCGACAUCUCCUCUUAGAAAGAAAUGCUUCUGUUUUGAAGUCUUCAGAAAGCUUGGUUUUGACUUCAGGAGGCUUCCUGCAUUUCCAUUACUGCGUAGAAUCCUGACUUGUGGAAAAGCAGCCCUUCAGAAAGAGGGCUCGUUCUUAGGUUCUUGCCAAGUGGUUUCUGUUCUGGAUGCCAUGAGAUCUCCUGUUCACCCACGACCGGACACCAAGAAGGGCAGUUUACAUGUUUGAUGCUUCAGGCAAGAAGAUUACAAUCUGAACUGACCGAAUACAUGUGCAAAGAGGAGCAAAGAGAGACCUUCAGGCACAAGAAAACAUAAACUUUUGGGAAGGGAAUCAGUGACAAUCUAAUACUUCAGUGAAGAAAUAUGCAUAAAAGAGGAGGAAAUGUGUUCCACAAAGAAGGAAGAUGUAAAGGAUGUUUUCCAUCUUCUCGGCUAAGAGAAGGCCAAGAUUGCCCAUAUGCAAUGACUAAAUGUGAAGUACAGAAGAAAGGACAAAAAAAGUACAGAUUUUGAAAAAGGCAAGAUCUGCGUUAAGGCACCAGGUGCUGGGCUGCUCUUCCCAUCACGAUGUUUUCAAUUCCAAAAGUUGCACUCCAAGUUCCAGGUAGAAAUCAAAUCCAAGACCCAGAGUGGUAGACAUCCAGUUGGAACAAAGUUGCUGGAUAAUAUUUUUGACACAAAAGGGAGUGGUACUUUCAGAAAAUGCUUAUGAGAACAGCCUAUCUGGGGGAGGAAUGGAGACUUCAGCUUGGCGGCUGAGUAAGACAGCAAAAGCAACUCACCUAAGGACUUGUUGACUCUGCAGAAGAGAAAUUAAAUGGAACAACAUUAAUGAGUAACAGUGGCAGUAUCUUAUGUUCCUGUUCUGCAGCACAUGGGUAUGAAAGCAAAUGGGUUCAACACAUGUAAAAUCCUUAAAUCUUCAUAGCAAAAUGGCAAGCUUCUAACAGGGCUAGAAGAAAGAAGAGUGCAGUGUCCUAUAUAUUUUUUCCUAUUGUGCUUUUUCAUGGAAAUCUGCUUAUGGCCAGAGAAUAAUGCAUUAGAUGAACCUUUCGACUGAUACUGUAUGGACACUUAAAUGUUCUUCUGUAAGAACUGUUCUUUUAACAGUUAAGAGUUGAGGCUUCAAUGUGGCCUAAGAACAUCUGCAUAUAGCAGCAGGAUGUUGGGUUAUUGGCAGGAUUUCUGUCUAAUCAGGAUCCUAGAAAAAAGAAAAGUAUAUAUUGCAAGAUUUUAAAUGGUGGACAUUGUACUUUGGUAGUGUACACAAAAGAUGCAAGAACGUGAGACUGCUACAAGACCAAACGCGGAUUCUAUGAAAUGUAUUUAUUUGUUCCUUUCUAAAACAACAAUAGUAGAGAAAUAGAAAUAGCGUAAGAGAAGCUCAAUAACACAGGAAAAAGAUGCAGUGGCUUUGGAGGACCCUCCCUACCUCCCCGUGGGAAAGGAGGACGUACUUUUAAGAAAAGAUAAGCCAAGGUUAAAAGGUAAGGGUGGAAGAAAAGCACUGAUUUGAGGUGUAAUGUAGAGACUACAGAAAUUAUUCUGCACAAGUUAGUGCUGCACAAAACUUCAAAACAACUGGAUCAUGAGGCUCAGAACAGGAAAACAAAGGCCAGCAGACAAACUGGACAUUUACAAAAAUGUCAGGUUAUGAUGAUGUCAUUAACAACUUGAAACAACUGCAAGUAAAACCAAGCCACAGGCAAUUGUACAAUGGAGUGGCAAAAUAUCACCAGGAGAAAUGUAAGCAGUAUUUACAAUGCCAGGUAAGAUGUUCAACCUGAAAUAAUCCAGUAUCAGCAUUCAAGCAAGUUUAUGAGUUUUAUCAAAUGACUUUGUACC